GACGAACGCUGACGGCGUGCUUAACACAUGCAAGUCGAGCGGAGCGGCGAACGGGUGAGUAACGCGUGAGUAACUGCCCCCCUCCCUGGGAUAACAGUUGGAAAAGGCUGCUAAUACCGGAUAGUGAGGGAUGACUCGCGUCCGAUCAGCUUGUUGGUGGUGUAGUGGCCGACCAAGGCGACGACGGGUAGCAGGCCUGAGAGGGCGACCGGCCACAAUGGGCUGAGAUACGGCCCAAACGCCGACGGGAGGCAGCAGUGGGGAAUAUUGCACAAUGGUGGAAACCCUGAUGCAGCAAGGCCGCGUGCGGGAUGACUGCCUUCGGGUUGUAAACCGCUUUCAGCCAUGACGCGGUAGUGGCAGAAGAAGCACCGGCUAACUACGUGCCAGCAGCCGCGGUAAUAC
rnacentral:rRNA from 1 species